AUCCUGGCUUAGGAUGAACGCUAGCGGCAGGCUUAACACAUGCAAGUCGAGGGGCAUCGGGAGUAGCAAUACUUGCCGGCGACCGGCGCAAGGGUGCGUAACGCGUGAGCAACAUGCCCGUAUCAGGGGGAUAAUCCAUGGAAACGUGGUCUAAUACCCCAUAGUAAUUAUGUAAGGCAUCUUAUAUAAUUUAAAGCUUUGGUGGAUACGGAUUGGCUCGCGUGACAUUAGCUAGAUGGUAAGGUAACGGCUUACCAUGGCUACGAUGUCUAGGGGUUCUGAGAGGAAGGCCCCCCACACUGGAACUGAGACACGGUCCAGACUCCUACGGGAGGCAGCAGUGAGGAAUAUUGGACAAUGGAUGGAAAUCUGAUCCAGCCAUGCCGCGUGCAGGAAAGACGGCCCUAUGGGUUGUAAACUGCUUUUGUAUGGGAGCAAUAAGGGCUACGCGUAGUCCGAUGAGAGUACCAUACGAAUAAGCACCGGCUAACUCCGUGCCAGCAGCCGC
rnacentral:rRNA from 1 species